AGACAUUUGGGCGACAAGGCAUUAUGCUAAUAUAUAGUCCAGGCAGUGUUAGUCACAACACAAGAGCAUUGGAUCCCACCCAAAGGGCCAACAACAAGAAAGUUGUAAAAUACACUCGUGGAGUCUGCAGCUACUAAAAUAAUGACUACGAAGGAUCUACCUAGAAAAGUUCGCAGCCCGAAAAGCGAGCCUCGCUGGAAUUAAGGAAUUCCGAACAAGGAGUUCCCUUCCCAAAGAAGGACCACCACGCAGCAGCCCUCUACCCAGGCCACGUCAGUCAAACCACCAACAGACCAACCCCCCAAGGGACCCUAUUUUGGGAUCUGCGAAUCCCAAGGCCAGCGGCCCGGAAGAUGGGCCGGGUCGGGGCCCUUCCUUCGUGGGAAACACUUGCUGAAUCUUGGGCCUGCAACGAAACACCUGGAGGGGCGGAAACGGGUGGCCGAGCUCUGUCCCCGGGCUGUCCCAGUCGCCCUCAGCUGCGCUCCGCCACCGCCUGGGGGAAGAGAAGUUGAAGCCGAGUCGAGGAAGCAGAAAGUGUGGCUAAGCGCUUUAAGAGAUGCUGAACCGGGGCAAAUACUUCGCGAGAAGCAAGUUUCAGUGGCAAUUCGGAAAACUGAAAGAAGCAAUUCAGGUGUGCGUGCCCCCGUAGCGACUGGGAACUGGGGCUCUUGGUAAACCGUGGACUGGAUUUUGGAGACAAAGGAACCGGAUCGGGGCCAGAGUGUUUUAGCGCUGAGAGGGCCUUCCAGAGGAAGCGGGGAGGGAACUCGAGUUUCCAGAGCGCUGCCUACUAUGUGCCAGAUACUUCAAACACCCUAUCCCUUUAAUUCCCAGCGUAGCUCAGUCAGGGAAGUACUAUGGUCCUUGAUUUUACAGGGGAGGGAACUGAGGCCCGGAGACAGACCAACCGUCCAGGGCUCCACACAGGCCAGUGGUAGAGCCAGGGGGCAGGCCUCCAGCUGUCGGGCUCCAGAGCCCUUUCCUCCAGGUCCAGGCCAACCCCUUUCUUUUGAAGAUGAGAAAACUGAAGGCCUUGGAGGAAGGAGGACCAAAGCUGGGAUCCAGAAGGAGGAUGAGAGCUGGGAUCCAGAAGGAUGUGCCAAGGGCAGCUACUACCUUAAAAGCAAUACUUUGAAUCUGCAAAACCACCCUCUGAGGAAGACACUAUUUUUAUUCCCAUUUUCCAGAUGAGGAAACUGAAGAUCACAUAGGAGCCAAGGGGCAGAGAAAAGAUUCAAACACAAGUUUACCCAAUUCCAAAAUCUAGGAUUCUUGCCGCUUCAUCGUAUUGCCCUCUAGCAAUGAAUGAGUUAAGCCACACCUUGGGCCAAUAGAAGACAAAGGCCGGUUGUGUCCAUCUAACUUUGGGCAGAGUGCUGAGCUGGUCUUUAUCUCCCCGGGGGCCAGAGGAAGAGUCCCCCCCCCCCCCCCCGGGGCCCCGGACUGCAGAGGGACGAUUUCCCUUGUCCGAGCCCCUU